rnacentral:rRNA from 1 species
GAGGCUGGGGCGCAGCCUGAUGCAGCCAUGCCGCGUGUUGAAGAAGGCCUUCCGGUUGUAAAGUACUUUCCGCGGGGAGGAAGGGAGUAAAGUUAAUACCUUUGCUCAUUGACGUUACCCGCAGAAGAAGCACCGGCUAACUUAGUGCCAGCAGCCGCGGUAAUA